rnacentral:rRNA from 1 species
GUAGGUGGCAAGCGUUGUCCGGAAUUAUUGGGCGUAAAGCGCGCGCAGGCGGUCCUUUAAGUCUGAUGUGAAAGCCCACGGCUCAACCGUGGAGGGUCAUUGGAAACUGGGGGACUUGAGUACAGAAGAGGAAAGCGGAAUUCCAAGUGUAGCGGUGAAAUGCGUAGAGAUUUGGAGGAACACCAGUGGCGAAGGCGGCUUUCUGGUCUGUAACUGACGCUGAGGCGCGAAAGCGUGGGGAGCAAACAGGGAUUAGAUACCCUGGUAGUCCACGCCGUAAACGAUGAGUGCUAAGUGUUAGGGGGUUUCCCGCCCCUUAUGCUGCAGCUAACGCAUUAAGCACUCCGCCUGGGGAGUACGCCGCAAGGCUG